UACGUAGGGUGCGAGCGUUGUCCGGAAUUACUGGGCGUAAAGCGCACGCAGGUGGCUGAGUCAGUCGAUUGUGAAAGCCCUGGGCUUAACCUGGGAAUUGCAGUCGAUACUACUCAGCUAGAGUAUGGGAGAGGGUGGUGGAAUUCCCGGUGUAGCAGUGAAAUGCGUAGAGAUCGGGAGGAACAUCUGUGGCGAAGGCGGCCACCUGGACCAGCACUGACACUGAGGCACGAAAGCGUGGGGAGCAAACAGG
rnacentral:rRNA from 1 species